rnacentral:lncRNA from 1 species
CAACUUAGAAAAUUGUGAUGAUAAUAUGUAAUGACCCGAGUCUGAUGAGAUUCAACAUCUCUGUCCUCACUGUGCUAGUCCCUGGAUCGACUCACUAGCACACACAGUACAUAUGAAUAUCAGAUAACAAGUGCAUCAUUUACUAUAACGUAUGAUCCAGAAUUUAUAAAGUAUUAUAAACUGAAUAGCACAUGGCUAACUUAUUCAAUAAUAAUAGUGGAAAGGUAGCAUAAUAAACGACGAGUCCCAUCAAUGCCCACUGGAGAAAAUGCUGAGUGAAGACUCGCGACCCUACUGUAUCUCACUGAUCAUCUGAAAAUCCUGCAACAUGAUAAGUUGCAGCCACAAGGGUCAAUACAUUGAAUGCAUUGGCAAAUCACACAAUAUGAUAAAGCAAACCUACAUCCAUAAGUAAAGUAUAUGACAAACAAAACACUCAAGUAAGUUUGGAGAAGAAUGUCUUCACCUACCUCCACUAACUGAACUCACGACCGCCUCUAGUUUAAUCACCCAAGAUAACCCCAAAGAUUCUAAGAAAACAUAACAAGAACUUCAGAAGUAUCUCAAGUGCGCUCUGUCAGUGGCGCAUUCUCUAGGAACAAUAGAGCGCUCUGCCAAGGACGCAUUCACCUGAUUUAAGUUCUGAAAACUACACCUCGCCUCAAGUGCGCUCUGUCAAUGGCGCAUUCUCUAGGGACAAUAGAGCGCUCUGCUAGUGACGCAUUCACCUGGUUAAUAAUCCCGAGCCUAUGGCUAUAAACACUCACCACUUUCAUGGAUCACUCGACACAUGCCCGCGUCUACCAUAGCAAGUUGAUCACACCAUCACAUAAUACAAUCAAUACCAUAAUAUAACAACAGAGAACAUACAUAUCAAACCAAGCACAUGUCUUAGCAUAAAAACCACACACGCAUAGCAGAAUAUAGGAUGAGCAAAAUCAAAAGUGCAACCUUGCCUUGAACGGUGUUGAAGUACUCUAACGAUUAAAAUCCGAUCCGCUUCACACUCCGGACAAUCUAUAAGAUUAACGAAGGCACCGAUAAAUAAACCGUACUCACAUAACACCACGAAUAAAGUAAACAACAAGGAAUUCAAAUAAAAACUUAAUUAACAGAACAUAUCAGUAGGUAUACAUUAUCUACAUGCUAUUAGGAUCACAAUACAAAAAGAAUCAACUAAUUUUGGAUCAACAGUUUGAAAGUUAUGGCCUCCGGAAGGUUAAAUUCAAAUAUGAGCAAAUUCAAAUUUAGAAGUUUCAAAAAUUAUAUUGGAUAGGUGUGCUGGAUAGUGGGGAUCAUGAUGAAGAAUUUGGCAUUGGUUUCAUCAAAUUUGGACAAACUAUGCAAAAGUUAUGAAGGUUUGAAAAACAGUAACAAAUCUAUUUUUGUUAUAAAACAAAAUACCUGACACGUAGCACACUAUGAUAGGCAAAAGCGUGUUUGCUGUUGCGGCCAACGGAUGGACGGCCACUAAAUAGUGCAUACCGGUUCGAAUAAAAAAACAGAACAUAACUAAUCCAGACCGUCGGAGGGAGAUCGGACGGAUGUGAAUUGCUCACCGGAGAACAGAGGCUGGAGCGUCACCAGAGUUGGAGAAGAAGGGUGUGGGCGGCUCGGACUUGGAGCGUGCGGUCUCUGCAAAAACCUCCUGAGCUUAGGGACGACGGAACGAGGUGAGGAGAGACGUGGCGAACUAGAAAACGUCCACCGGGACGGCCGAGACUACCUCUCGUGUCGGCGACGUCUGGCUGGAGGAGUGGUUGCCGGCAUCAAGCUUCAGGGCGGGCUCAUAGCGCUCGCUACGGUGCUUCCCUGUGUGAUAUAGAUGGUCAGGGAGACAGAGGAGAUUGAUGCGAAGAGCAUAGAGGAGAAGGGAUGUGCUGGGAACCUUCUGUGUCAACGGAAUCGACUGAAGAGAGCUCCUACGGCAGCGCAGCUCCGGCCAGAUCUGAGCGAGGCGAAACGGGCACAUGAGAGAGGGAUUUUGCCAAAAAUCGACAGAAAGAGCAAGGGGAUUAUUUAUAGAGUAGUUCCCGUGCGAGAGGGACGAGAUCCAAGCCGAAUCGGCGAGUAUUUGGAUCGGGGAGUGGUCUCCACGAAGAACACGGGAACGAGAGAGAUGACAUGUGGGUCAGGAUGGUCAGCGGAG